GCCUAGCCGUAAACUUUAACUUACACCUCAAUCGCCAGGGAACUACGAGCAAAGCUUAAAACCCAAAGGACUUGACGGUACCCCAAAUCCAUCUAGAGGAGCCUGUCCUAUAAUCGAUAACCCCCGUUAAACCUCACCACUUUUUGUUUAUCAGCCUGUAUACCUCCGUCGUCAGCUUACCACGUGAGCGUUAUUGAGUGAGCUUAAUGCCCUUACGCCAACACGUCAGGUCAAGGUGCAGCUAAUGAAGUGGGAAGAGAUGGGCUACACUUUCUAUAAUAGAAGAAACGAAAGACUACGUAUGAAACCUAGUCAGAAGGAGGAUUUAGUAGUAAAAAGAAAACAGAGUGUUCUUUUUAACCCGGCACUGGGGUGUGUACACACCGCCCGUCACCCUCUUCAAGGCCACAUACAAGUAUAUAACUAAACUUAGCCAUAUAGAAGAGGCAAGUCGUAACAUGGUAAGUAUACCGGAAGGUGUGCUUGGAAA
rnacentral:rRNA from 1 species